CCCCCUAAAUGUUUCCUUUGUGGGUUUUAAAAGUUUUAGCGAUGGCCGCGCCCAUGCCCCCGCAAGAUAUUUCAUCGAUUGUUUUAUAGCGGGUACGGACCUGCGGGAUUUUGUCUCUUUUAUCAUCCGGAUCUAUCUCUCAUCGUAGCCACUCCUCUAUCUCCCUCUCUCUCUCUCUCUCUCUCUCUCUCUCUCUCUCUCUCUCUCUCUCUGUCUCCGUUUAUUUACACUGCGGAGAAAAAUAGAAGAAAGACAGAAAUACCAUAUCGCAUGCGCAUGGCCGAUUGGAAUAGAGUUAAUUUUACGCGGAUCCUGUUGUGUUGAGAACACGAUAUUUAUAUACUUCUUGCAUUCAACACGUUUAUCCGUGAAAAAUACAACGAUGAUCCGGACGUUUGAAUGGGAUACUACGGAUAAUCGAAGAGUGUACAGGGCAAUUUUUUACUGCUUUUUUUUCGCGUGUCCUCCAACAGUUUUCUUCGCCAAGUUGGGUAGUAAGCAGGUCCAUGAUCUGUCGUUUGCAAUGCAAGGAAGGAGAAAUAAGAGAGCGUAACAAAGCCUCUUUUCCAACUCUCCCUGUCGCGUUCAACGGCCGUUGAAUAAGGCAAUAUCCCCAGGCUUGAUGCCCGUUUUGCACGAACAAGGGCCUUGUUAUUACAUAGGAAAAAUUGCUGGACCCGCGUUUUCUCUUCUCCUCUUUUUUUUUUUUAUUUUUUAUUAUCUUUUUUUUUUUUUUCCCAAUGUUGUCUAGAAAAGCUCAUUUUCAAACGGCAACUCUUUUAUCCCCCCUGAAACUUCAUAUACGUUCUCUUGUAAAGAAUUUCUUUACAGAGUAUAGAAGCGAUUUUUCGAUUUCUCUCCAUUCCAUUUUAUAUAAUAUGUUUUUAAUUACACUGUGUGUUUAUCGCAUCUUCAAACGUGUUGAAUGUGUUCAAUCCCAACGACUUAAUUCUUUUCUUUUUAAUGAUAUUAUCUGAUAUAUAUACACAAAGUAAUUUAGUUAUUAUAAGAAACGAACGAUUAAUCACCGAGGAAGUGCACAAGAUACAGAAGAUAUCUUGAUACAAACGGAAAGUAUAAGCGUUAUAAAAACUCUUCUCUUAGAAGAAUAAUAUAUCCAUUUUAAUAUUUCCAUGUCCAACGUAUGGACAUUAUAAUUUCUUCUUUUCUCUUUUAAUCUGUUUUUACAGUGUUUUAUUGGGAACAACAUUAUUAUGAGCAAGUUGCUUCACGUAUAAUUAAACUGUUCUGCAACAUGUAAUAAAGACGUCGUUGACGGCACGUGCUGCUCAUGUUGAAUUUAAUUAAGGAAUUCAUGAAAAUGAUCUGUUAUUACACGCACGAUCCAUGAAUCGAUAAUGAAUAAAAACAAUAUCCUUUUUCUACUGGAUCAGUUCAAGUACUAUCUCUAAUUUUCUUCUUCUUCUUGUGAAUUCGACGUAUCUUAGACGAGUACGUAUCGUCGCAAGCAUUUCGUCGAGGCAUAGA